AGUGAACGCUGGCGGCAUGCCUAACACAUGCAAGUCGAACGGCAGCACAGUAAGCGCUUGCUCUUACGGGUGGCGAGUGGCGGACGGGUGACGAAUGCAUCGGAUUCUUCUUUUUCGUGGGUGAUAACGUAGGGAAACUUCUGCUAAUACCGCAUAUGACCUACGGGUGAAAGCAAGGGAUAUUCGCACCUUUCGCGAUUGAAUUAGCCGAUGUCGGAUGAGCUAGUUGGAGGGGUAAAGGCCCACCAAGCCGACGAUCCGUAGCUGAUCUGAGAGGAUGAUCGGCAAACCUGGAAAUGAGAACCGGUCCAGCACCCGACGGGAGGCACAAGAGGGAAAUUUUCGACAAGGGGCGGAAGCCUGCGCCAGCCAUACGGCGUGGGUGAAGAAGGCCUUCGGGUGGUAAAGCCUGUUUGUUGGGAAAGAAAAGCAGCAGGUUAAUACCCCGCUGUUCUGAGGGUACCCAAAGAAUAGGCACGGGUAACUUCCGU
rnacentral:rRNA from 1 species